AAGACUUUACUUUCAGGGGUCAUUUCUAUAGUUUGUUCAGAAGUUUCUCUGAAUGUGUAGAGCAAAAAGU
rfam:Gorilla gorilla gorilla genomic chromosome, chr7, whole genome shotgun sequence